rnacentral:rRNA from 1 species
UACAGAGGUCUCAAGCGUUGUUCGGAUUCAUUGGGCGUAAAGGGCUCGUAGGCGGUCUGUUGCGUCAGGAGUGAAAACUCGGGGCUUAACCCCGAGCCUGCUUCUGAUACGGGCAGACUAGAGGUAUGCAGGGGAGAACGGAAUUCCUGGUGUAGCGGUGAAAUGCGCAGAUAUCAGGAGGAACACCGGUGGCGAAGGCGGCAUCCUGGACCAACACUGACACUGAGGUGCGAAAGCGUGGGGAGCAAACAGG